rnacentral:lncRNA from 1 species
UUGAAAUAUAUCCAAUCAAAAAGUCUUUAGUCUGUAUGUUUGAACUCGUUAAUAUAUUCACGCUUUACUCCUCUAAUUAUUUUUUGAGAGCUAGAAAAAUAACAUACUAUUCGCUUUAUUUGUUUCUUUUAAAAAUAAAUUUAGUUAGAAAUGUAAAAUAAUUAUACUUCAAAGUAGGAAUAUUCUCAUGUACCAAUUAUUAAAUAUUUUUGUCAUUUGCACUAGGAAUGGUAGGUUUUAUUCUACUUAUUACUGUGUGGGGAUAGGAUUGUUCUGAUGUGAAUGGAGAGAGAGAGAGAGAGAGAGAGAGAG